UUCCAGACUCCUACGGGAGGCAGCAGUGAGGAAUAUUGGUCAAUGGCCGUAAGGCUGAACCAGCCAAGUAGCGUGAGGGAAGACUGCCCUAUGGGUUGUAAACCUCUUUUAUGCGGGGAUAAAGGUGUCCACGUGUGGAUGUUUGCAGGUACCGCAUGAAUAAGGACCGGCUAAUUCCGUGCCAGCAGCCGCGGUAAUACGGAAGGUCCGGGCGUUAUCCGGAUUUAUUGGGUUUAAAGGGUGCGUAGGCGGAAGGUUAAGUCAGCGGUAAAAUGUCGGUGCUCAACACCGGCCUGCCGUUGAAACUGGUCUUCUUGAGUGAGCGAGAAGUAUGCGGAAUGCGUGGUGUAGCGGUGAAAUGCAUAGAUAUCACGCAGAACUCCGAUUGCGAAGGCAGCAUACCGGCGCUCAACUGACGCUGAGGCACGAAAGCGUGGGGAUCGAACAGGAUUAGAUACCCGAGUA
rnacentral:rRNA from 1 species